rnacentral:rRNA from 1 species
AACGAACGCUGGCGGCGCGCCUAAUACAUGCAAGUCGAGCGAGAAGGUGUAGCAAUACACUUGUAAAGCGGCGAACGGGUGAGGAAUACAUGGGUAAUCUACCAUCGAGUGGGGAAUAACCAACCGAAAGGUUGGCUAAUACCGCGUACGCCUCCGAGUCUUCGGGUUCGGAGGGAAAGCUGCACUGUGAGUGUAGCGCUCUUUGAUGAGCUCAUGUCCUAUCAGCUUGUUGGUAGGGUAACGGCCUACCAAGGCUUUGACGGGUAGCUGGUCUGAGAGGACGAUCAGCCACACUGGCACUGCGACACGGUCCCGACUCCUACGGGGGGCAGCAGUGAGGAAUAUUGGGCAAUGGACGAAGGUCUGACCCAGCAACGCCGCGUGGAGGAUGAAGGUUUUUGGAUUGUAAACUCCUUUUGUGGGGGAAGAGUGAGGACGGUACCCCAAGAAUAAGUCACGGCUAACUACGUG